GGGUUGUGUGUGUGUGUGUGUGUGUGUGUGUGUGUAUACACACACACACACACACACACACACACUCACAACCU